GACGGUGGGCUGAGCCUGCCGUGGUCGGGAGAGGAGCGAAACGGGGAAGGGGUCGGGUCUCCAGGGUCGGAACCGGGCGGAAGGCUGAGCACUCAGCGCGGUAAAACAAGGCAGACGACUAAGAUCCAGGGCUCCGAUUAAGAUUAACUUGGAAGGUUUAGGGGUCGGUUGUCACACAUCCGCUGCCUCGUCCGGUCGCCUUCGAAGAUGCUGUGGCGGGAACGUCCUAG
rnacentral:lncRNA from 1 species